rnacentral:rRNA from 1 species
UACGUAGGGGGCAAGCGUUGUCCGGAAUUAUUGGGCGUAAAGCGCGCGCAGGCGGUCCUUUAAGUCUGAUGUGAAAGCCCACGGCUCAACCGUGGAGGGUCAUUGGAAACUGGGGGACUUGAGUGCAGGAGAGAAGAGUGGAAUUCCACGUGUAGCGGUGAAAUGCGUAGAGAUGUGGAGGAACACCAGUGGCGAAGGCGGCUAUCUGGACGAUGACUGACGCUGAGACGCGAAAGCGUGGGGAGCAAACAGG